rnacentral:rRNA from 1 species
UACGUAGGGUGCGAGCGUUGUCCGGAAUUAUUGGGCGUAAAGGGCUCGUAGGCGGUUUGUCGCGUCGGGAGUGAAAACCAUGGGCUUAACUCAUGGCUUGCUUCCGAUACGGGCAGACUAGAGGUAUGCAGGGGAGAACGGAAUUCCUGGUGUAGCGGUGAAAUGCGCAGAUAUCAGGAGGAACGCCGGUGGCGAAGGCGGUUCUCUGGGCAUUACCUGACGCUGAGGAGCGAAAGUGUGGGGAGCGAACAGG